UACAGAGGUGGCAAGCGUUGUUCGGAAUCACUGGGCGUAAAGCGCACGUAGGCGGAUCUUUAAGUCAGGGGUGAAAUCCUGGAGCUCAACUCCAGAACUGCCUUUGAUACUGGGGAUCUCGAGUCCGGAAGAGGUGAGUGGAACUCCGAGUGUAGAGGUGAAAUUCGUAGAUAUUCGGAAGAACACCAGUGGCGAAGGCGGCUCACUGGUCCGGUACUGACGCUGAGGUGCGAAAGCGUGGGGAGCAAACAGGG
rnacentral:rRNA from 1 species